GACGAACGCUGGCGGCGUGCUUAACACAUGCAAGUCGAACGGAAAGGCCCCUUUGGGGGUCCUCGAGUGGCGAACGGGUGAGUAACACGUGAGUAACCUGCCCUUGACUUCGGGAUAACUUCAGGAAACUGGGGCUAAUACCGGAUAGGAAUCAUUGCUGCAUGGUGGGGGUUGGAAAGCUUCGGCGGUUUUGGCUGGACUCGCGGCUUAUCAGCUUGUUGGUGGGGUAGUGGCUUACCAAGGCUUUGACGGGUAGCCGGCCUGAGAGGGCGACCGGCCACAUUGGGACUGAGAUACGGCCCAGACUCCUACGGGAGGCAGCAGUGGGGAAUAUUGCACAAUGGGCGGAAGCCUGAUGCAGCAACGCCGCGUGCGGGAUGACGGCCUUCGGGUUGUAAACCGCUUUCAGCAGGGGCGAAGCUUGUGGUGACGGUACCUUCAGAAGAAGCACCGGCUAACUACGUG
rnacentral:rRNA from 1 species